UUUUCAUGACUGUAUCACAAACCAAAGAUUAAUUUCCUUUUCGUGAUGCCAUCAUGAAAUGGCGUGAGAUUGCAUGCACAAAAUAGAUGAGAG